CCUCCAGGACCACUGGCUGCCCAUGAGAGACGAAGGAUGGCAUCCAAGGGGGCCGGCGUGUCUUUCUCCCGCAAGAGCUGUAGGCUGACCUCAGAUGCUGAGAAAUCCAGGGUCACAGGCAUUGUGCAGGAGAAGCUGCUGAAUGACUACCUGAACCGCAUCUUUCCUCUUCUGACCAUGCACCCCCAGCAGCCACCGGCAGUUACUCGGGAGGCUGAGGCAGGAGAAUCGCUUGAACCGGAGAGGCGGACGUUGCAGUGAGCCGAGGUCAAACCAGUGCACUCCAGCCUGGGCAACAGAGCGAGACUCCAUCUGAAAAAGAAACAAAAAGAAAAAAAAAUUUUGGACCCGCUGCAGCUGGGAGGGGAGCUGUCCAGGAGGCCGGCCUGGGAAUGAGCACAGGCCUGCGGCUGGCAGAGAGCCGGGUCGAGCCAGCCCUGGAGAAGCAGGCCCAGCUGGAGGAGCAGCUGCGGGACAAGGUGCUCCACGAGAAGGACCUGUCCCAGCAGCAGAUGCAAAGCGACCUGGACAAGGCUGACCUCAGUGCCAGGAGGGUCCCUGGUGGGUGCUGCAUGAGGCAGGCGUCACUGCAGAAG
rnacentral:lncRNA from 1 species